rnacentral:lncRNA from 1 species
GGAAAAUAAAUUGUUAACGUUCUAUUGGAACACCAUGUACAGUCGCAGUCUUGUGAUCCUGUAGGAUACACAUCUCAGUCUAACGCCUCGAGGGACGUACAUAUCAGUCUAGUGUUCUGCAGAAACACAUAUCAGUCUAAUGCUCCCGAAGGUGCACAAUAAAUUGGUGAUCCCGUGGGGCACCUACAAGGUAAACAUCCCAAUACAAUCUAACAAUUUUCCCCUCAUUUCAUUCAAUCCAUCUUUUAAUUACUUCAAGACACAAAGUUCUUUCUUUCAACGUCCUAACAGUCAACUUAUUUUACUUCAGUCAUAUGUCUGUCAAUAUUAUGCUAAUACAUCAGUCAAUCAAACUAUACAGUCAACACACCCCUCAAUCAAACUAUACAGUCAACACACCCCUCAAUCAAACUAUACAGUCAACACACCCCUCAGUUCGUCGGCACACAGUCAUACUUUAACGUAACGUACACCCAAUCUAAACGAAAAUCACAAGUUCACAUCUCCAUCUCAUACAAACACAAUCUACAAUCUUCGUCCUGUCCACAUACACACUUAUAUAUAUAUUCCAUGACAAUCACGAUAUACAUUCGACGUCAAGUCUACUUCAAUUCAUAUGCAUUCAUAUAUAUUUUCAGUCAAUCCACAGUAUACAUUUAACACAUACAAUUCACAGUCAUAAGUGAGUAGAAAAUCCCUUAUCCCUUAUUUUCCUCAACGUAAGUUUCAACUCAACUCACCUCACCGAUAUAAUGGCGAACUGAACCUUCAAUAAUUCACAAUCUGGUUGUGAAUGUAAGGGAGCCUAACGUUACUCCCAACACCUCAUCGCACGACUGUCGAACUCGCAGCAAAAUCCUAAGUGUGGGUCGGUCAGCGGUCGGCCAAAGGGGACGUGGCGGCUGGGCUUCACGGAUGGAGACCGUCGCGAACAGACCGCGAAUCUGAACGGUUACAGCAACUAGUCGGCCGACGUUGAUCGCAGGUGGAGCGGCGGUUGUGAGCGGGGAGCGUGGUCGACGGAGACAGAACCGGCGGAGACGGUUGCAGAACCGCGGCUUCGACGGAGACAGAACCGGCGAUGGAGACGGCUGGGCAGCGGCGGAAGGUCUUGCGGUACAGAUCUGGACGGCGGCCGCAAGGUGACGCGUACGGCUGCCUCGCGAACUGGCCAACGGUUGCAGCGACGUCCGACUGGGUUUGGACGGAACGGAGAGGAGAAGAGAAGAUGGAGAUGGCCGGCGGCGGUUACUGCGCGAACGGAGAGAAGGGAACGGAUGGGGCGGCUGGGCUGCGACUGGGCUGCGGCGGGAAGAAAACGGAAGAGAAAGGAUCGGCGGCUGGGCUGCGGCUGGGCACGAACGGAAGGAGAAGAGGAAUGGAGACGGCCGGCGGCGGUUGCUGCGAACGGGAAGGAGAAGGGAGAAGGGAUCGACGGUCGCACGGGGAAAAAGAAGGGAGAAAAGAAAAGAAAAAGAAAAAGAAAAGAAAAAAAAUAAUAAAAAAUUUCUUUAUUAUUAUUUUUAUUUAUUUAUUUAAAUUAAUAAAAAUAAUAUAUAUAACUUUCCUUUUUUUUUUCUUUUGGGGCAUGUUGUUGAGUUGUAAAUAUUUUUAAUGGUACCAUCAAUUUUCAAGCACACAAACUAUUAAGUAUUAUAUCAUAUUUAGCUUUCUCAAAAACCCUAUGAUAAUAUUAUAUCUCUCUUUACAAUGAUAAAACUAUAUAUUUGUCUCAGAUAAACAACAAUAAUGGUCUAUCUCUGUCUAUCUAGAAUAGAUAGAGAUAGAGCUUUAUCACUUUCUAUCUCAAAUAGAUAGUGAUGGUGGCAGAUCUCUAUCUAUCUAGGAUAGAAAGAAAAAAAGAUCAUUAUAUUGUCCAAGACCUAUUGAGUUAUGCAUGAUGGUCAAUAAUCGUAGAUUGAGAUUCACAAAAAUUGUACGGACGGAGGUAUUUUUGGUAUUUCAC